GCUUAGGAGAAGUCUCAGCAGUCGGUAGAGCCCCAGAAAGAGCAGGCACUGGAGGGGGAUCAUUUGGAGCCUCAGUACUGGACAGAACCCUAGAAGGAGGAGGCAUCAGAGGUUGAUCAUUUGGAGCUUCAUUACGCGGUACAGCCCCAGAAAACGAAGGCAAUAAAUGCCUUUGGAACAAACCCACAAAUCUCUGAUGAUCAAGUAAAAC
rnacentral:lncRNA from 1 species